GAUGAACGCUGGCGGCGUGCUUAACACACGCAAGUCGAACGGGAAUUACUUUAUUGAAACUUCGGUCGAUUUAAUUUAAUUCUAGUGGCGGACGGGUGAGUAACGCGUGGGUAACCUGCCUUGUACAGGGGGAUAACAGUCAGAAAUGACUGCUAAUACCGCAUAAGCGCACAGGACCGCAUGGUCCGGUGUGAAAAACUCCGGUGGUAUAAGAUGGACCCGCGUUGGAUUAGCUUGUUGGUGGGGUAACGGCCCACCAAGGCGACGAUCCAUAGCCGGCCUGAGAGGGUGAACGGCCACAUUGGGACUGAGACACGGCCCAGACUCCUACGGGAGGCAGCAGUGGGGAAUAUUGCACAAUGGGGGAAACCCUGAUGCAGCGACGCCGCGUGAAGGAAGAAGUAUCUCGGUAUGUAAACUUCUAUCAGCAGGGAAGAAAAUGACGGUACCUGACUAAGAAGC
rnacentral:rRNA from 1 species